AGUGAACGCUGGCGGCAUGCCUUACACAUGCAAGUCGAACGGCAGCACGGGAGCAAUCCUGGUGGCGAGUGGCGAACGGGUGAGUAAUAUAUCGGAACGUGCCCAGUCGUGGGGGAUAACGCAGCGAAAGCUGUGCUAAUACCGCAUACGAUCUACGGAUGAAAGCGGGGGAUCGCAAGACCUCGCGCGAUUGGAGCGGCCGAUAUCAGAUUAGCUAGUUGGUGGGGUAAAGGCCCACCAAGGCGACGAUCUGUAGCUGGUCUGAGAGGACGACCAGCCACACUGGAACUGGGACACGGUCCAGACUCCUACGGGAGGCAGCAGUGGGGAAUUUUGGACAAUGGGCGCAAGCCUGAUCCAGCAAUGCCGCGUGCAGGAUGAAGGCCUUCGGGUUGUAAACUGCUUUUGUACGGAACGAAACGGCCCUUUCUAAUACAGGGGGCUAAUGACGGUACCGUAAGAAUAAGCACCGGCUAACUACGUGCCAGCAGCCGCAGUAAUAC
rnacentral:rRNA from 1 species